AAAAGCACCCCGGAAGGGGAGUGAAAUAGAACCUGAAACCGUGUGCUUACAAGUAGUCAGAGCCCGUUAAUGGGUGAUGGCGUGCCUUUUGUAGAAUGAACCGGCGAGUUACGAUUUGAUGCAAGGUUAAGCAGUAAAUGUGGAGCCGUAGCGAAAGCGAGUCUGAAUAGGGCGUUUAGUAUUUGGUCGUAGACCCGAAACCAGGUGAUCUACCCUUGGUCAGGUUGAAGUUCAGGUAACACUGAAUGGAGGACCGAACCGACUUACGUUGAAAAGUGAGCGGAUGAACUGAGGGUAGCGGAGAAAUUCCAAUCGAACCUGGAGAUAGCUGGUUCUCUCCGAAAUAGCUUUAGGGCUAGCCUCAAGUGAUGAUUAUUGGAGGUAGAGCACUGUUUGGACGAGGGGCCCCUCUCGGGUUACCGAAUUCAGACAAACUCCGAAUGCCAAUUAAUUUAACUUGGGAGUCAGAACAUGGGUGAUAAGGUCCGUGUUCGAAAGGGAAACAGCCCAGACCACCAGCUAAGGUCCCAAAAUAUAUGUUAAGUGGAAAAGGAUGUGGCGUUGCCCAGACAACUAGGAUGUUGGCUUAGAAGCAGCCAUCAUUUAAAGAGUGCGUAAUAGCUCACUAGUCGAGUGACACUGCGCCGAAAAUGUACCGGGGCUAAACAUAUUACCGAAGCUGUGGAUUGUCCUUUGGACAAUGGUAGGAGAGCGUUCUAAGGGCGUUGAAGCAUGAUCGUAAGGACAUGUGGAGCGCUUAGAAGUGAGAAUGCCGGUAUGAGUAGCGAAAGACGGGUGAGAAUCCCGUCCACCGAUUGACUAAGGUUUCCAGAGGAAGGCUCGUCCGCUCUGGGUUAGUCGGGUCCUAAGCUGAGGCCGACAGGCGUAGGCGAUGGAUAACAGGUUGAUAUUCCUGUACCACCUAUAAUCGUUUUAAUCGAUGGGGGGACGCAGUAGGAUAGGCGAAGCGUGCGAUUGGAUUGCACGUCUAAGCAGUAAGGCUGAGUAUUAGGCAAAUCCGGUACUCGUUAAGGCUGAGCUGUGAUGGGGAGAAGACAUUGUGUCUUCGAGUCGUUGAUUUCACACUGCCGAGAAAAGCCUCUAGAUAGAAAAUAGGUGCCCGUACCGCAAACCGACACAGGUAGUCAAGAUGAGAAUUCUAAGGUGAGCGAGCGAACUCUCGUUAAGGAACUCGGCAAAAUGACCCCGUAACUUCGGGAGAAGGGGUGCUCUUUAGGGUUAACGCCCAGAAGAGCCGCAGUGAAUAGGCCCAAGCGACUGUUUAUCAAAAACACAGGUCUCUGCUAAACCGUAAGGUGAUGUAUAGGGGCUGACGCCUGCCCGGUG
rnacentral:rRNA from 1 species